rnacentral:misc_RNA from 1 species
GAUGAAGAACGUAGCGAAAUGCGAUAAGUAAUGCGAAUUGCAGAAUUCCAGUGAGUCAUCGAAUCUUUGAACGCACAUUGCGCCCUUUGGUAUUCCGAAGGGCAUGCCUGUUCGAGCGUCAUUAUCACCCCUCAAGCCCUCGGCUUGGUGUUGGACGGUUUGGUGGAGGCCCCCUCGGGGGUUCCUGCCCCUCCCAAAGACAAUGACGGCGGCCUCGUUGGACCCCCGGUACACUGAGUUCUUCACGGGACACGUAUCGGACACAUGGGUUUACGGGACACGGUCUGCCUCCCCUCAGGGAGAAUCUUUCUAAGGUUGACCUCGGAUCAGAUAGGGAUACCCGCUGAACUUAAGCAUAUCAAUAAGCGGAGGA